rnacentral:rRNA from 1 species
CCUACGGGUGGCAGCAGUAGGGAAUUUUCGUCAAUGGGGGGAACCCUGACCGAGCAACGCCGCGUGAACGAAGAAGUUAUUCGUAAUGUAAAGUUCUUUUAACAGGGAAGUAAGAGAAAUUUGACGGUACCUGUAGAAUAUGCUCCGUCUAACUACGUGCCAGCAGCCGCGGUAAUACGUAGGGGUCGUACGUUAUCCGGAAUUAUUGGGCGUAAGGGUUGCGUUGAUGGCAUAGUAAGUCUUUGGUAAAAAUGCUGGGCUAAACCCAGUAGGGCAAAAGAUACUGGAAAGCUAGAGUAUGACAGAGGCAAGUGGAACUACAUGUGUAGCGGUAAAAUGCGUAAAUAUAAGUAAGAACACCAGUGGCGAAGGCGGCUUGCUGGGUCGAUACUGACAUUGAGGCACGAAAGCGUGGGGAGCAAACAGGAUUAGAUACCCGUGUAGUC